rnacentral:lncRNA from 10 species
GAGAGUCCGGAGGCGCUGAAGGGAGGGUCGCAGCGCCGUGACUUUCGCUUUACUAGGAAUGGAGGCACAUUGUUUUCAAAAUAAAGAUUACAUUAUACUAGCAAAGAUUAGAAAUGUGAGCAUAUGAUAGUCUUUUUUAUGGACUUAGAGCUAAAGGUUUGCAAGUCACUUUUACUUUUCUGGUCUCCCAAUCCUUGCGGCGUUUGUGAGGUGGGUGUGGCUCUAUGCCCCCUUUAACUGUGAGCUAAAUAAAGAUAAAGCUUAGAAUCGAAAUGGCAGACCGGGAAUAUAAACUAUUUUUCUUACUUAAUUUCUAACAGGGUGCUUUCCCUUUGGAUAGCGAUUGGUAGUUACCCGGGACCUCUAAGCCUAUAAUAAUAGAGACAAAGUCAAAGGAAUCCAACUCUUAAAACCCUCACACCCCCCACACCUGAAAAACCCUGACAGUCACCGUGCUUUUUUUAACAGCAGAACUUCUAAGGUUCUUAAUUCAUUCAAUAAGGGUUAACUUUUAGUAGCCUGUGAAGUUUUGGCAAUUUGACUUACGAUACAAUAAUGGUUUAGCCCAUUAUUGUUUCUCGCCAGAUAGAAUUAAAUUGGGGGAAUGAAAGAAUGCUCCAGUGUGGCGUAGUUUUUAAGGUAAGGGAAAGACUUUUACACAAAGUUUCCUUUUCAGAUAUUAUUGAUCACCCUUUUGUUAUCAACACACAGAGUAAUCCUAUCUGUCGGUUGACAACCUUCAGUGAUUUUUAGUAGAAAGUGGUGGAGAGAAGACCUGGGAUUCAAUCCCAACACUUAACAGCUAACUAACCUCGGGCAAGUGACUAUCUCUAAGCCUGUUUGUUCAUCAGCCUAAUGCAUAUACAGCAAUCUACAUUGCCAAGCUCACAGAAUUCUUGAGAGAUCUAAUGAGAUAAUAUGUAAAAUAAGCUUUAAAUUUUAUAAAACAUUAGUUUUAACAAACAUUUCCUAUGUGACAGUUUGAAACUAGAAAUAAGCCAUUUGAUCUGGUAGUCUAGAAAAGAAAGCAAACACGUAAGGCGAAUACCAGCACAAGGGAGC